rfam:Caloramator mitchellensis strain VF08 ABG79_contig000001, whole genome shotgun sequence.
GGAACCUGCACACGUUGCGGAGCAACGAUGGUAAAGGA